GACCAACAUUAGAUAACUGGUAACACCAUAUACGCGCACAAAGAAUAUGAUGUUGUGAACAUAUUCAGUUUUCAACAACACGUUAUCUGCGUCAUUAACAGUGUAAAUGUUGUAGGAAAUAUAAUACUAUAUAGGAAAUUAUAUACUACUGGACUGGAAUGUUAGCUUCCCAAAUGCCUUAUUUAGUUUGUAUACUUUCGAACUAAAGGAUAUUUCAAGUGAAUGAAUAUAUAGGGUAUACAUGGUUACAAUUACAGAUCUCGGGGCCAGCAAUACAAGCGAGGUUGUGGACUUUGCAACAAACCUUACGGACACAUUUGAUUACGUUCAAGUGCGAUCAAGGGGGAUACAACUCGAAGAGGCUCUUAUACUCUUUGUAGUUGUCGGACUUUGGGCAUGCGCAAUGGUGCUAUUUGUGAAGCAGUGGGAUAAUAUUCGUAUUUUACAACCUCAGGAAACUCGUUAUAAACACAGUCCAAAGAAUUUGCACACAAUAAAAAUUGUGAAAAAGGCUCAAGAUAGUGUAAUAUAUAAAAAUUAUAGUCGGAAAAUGUCGUUGACAAUGGUAGAAAGAGAGAAGAAGCUUUUACGGAUGAAUACAGUUCCGAUCAUGGAAAACGUGCAUUCACUGCAGACUAUAAACUCAUUCAAAAAACUUUCCACUAUAGAAAUGGAAGAAGGGAUUCAAGAGGAAUCGGACAAUGUUGACGUAGGCUCAAAUGUGUGACGUAAUUAAUGACGUCAUAUUUUUGUAUAUACGACACUGCCACAAAGUGUGAAAAUUUUCUGUGAUAUGUUUCCUGAUACAUACAAGUGUUAAUUAUUCCAUAAUCAUAAAAUAGUAGAAGUAUUAUUUAGAUGGGAAUGUAACGUAGAUGGGUCGGUGUUAUGUAUAAUUUAUUAUUUCAUCCCUUUUCUCAAAAACAAUAUCUUCGGUAUAUAUUUUUACAAUGUUACUGACAUUUAAGAAAACGACACAUUUUGUGUACAUAUUUCAUAGUUCUAAGUUCCUAUACGGCAUGUGUCUAUAAAUCAGUCUAUAAUACACUUUUGCUUUUAAAAUCAUAUGUUUUACAAACAAAUUUGAUGUCAUUACUAAUGAAUUGUACCUAAUUUCUGAACGAAAACAUGUGUAUCAUUUUAUAUACUAGGGAGUUUACCAUAAUACUUUUUAAGGAUGCAAACCAUGGCUAAAUAUAUCUUCUGAAGUUACGUAACGUAACAUUUUUGAAAAUAUGAAAAUAUAUAUGUAUUUCUGCGAAAAAGCCAAUGUGUGAUUUGUGGCAAAAUAUGAAAAAGGCAUUUAUGAGCAUCUCUAGUCCAUAAUGCUACUGAACAAAUAUAAAUUUGUGUCAAGGAAAAGUGUGAUUACGGACAUCAACUACAAAUUAUUUUUACUAAAAAACAAUAAACAACAUGUUAGCGUUCAAUUUUAAAUCCAAUUUUAAAUCAGCCAAACUGUAUUACAUACGAGACACAGUUUUGAAUAAUUGCGUAAAAGUAAGACGCUGAUAGGAAACAUUGAACGGUUGGUUAUACACUGUCAGCCAAAAAGUCGCGAAGUAGCAGUGACUUUAGCUGUUUAAGACAUAUAUAUUUUCGCAUUAACGUCUAACUUACUACUCUUCGUAAGCAUGCCUCCUGAUAAAUAAUCAAAUAACGUUUAAACAAAUGGUUGAACAAAUCAUCAUCGAGGCCAAUUUAUGCGAAACAGACUUGUAGAUUUUUUUUUUUUUGAAAAUUUAGACGUUCGCAUUGGACAGAAAACGAGGACAAAGUCUACACAAAUUGAAAACUAAUUUCCUGCCUGCUAUAUAUUAGUCGAUAAAGUACAGAACGAAUGCCUUAAUUAGCGCGUGCUUAAAAAUACAUUUACAGUUAUUGCAUGCCCUGACAGAAAAGGGAAAUGCAAGCAAUUAAAAGUACAUUUGUUUAUCAUGUAGGCCUUUGCAAUUUAUUUGCUCAACGUAGGAAUCUGUUACGUGAUCAGACCAUGUCAAUGCAUAAUAAUUUCUGUUAUUAUCUUUAAGUUAGCAAUUGUUCCUGCUACAUAAGUGGUGUAGCAACAUUAAAACCAUAUUAAAUACGCCCUGGGGAUGGUAAUUGAAUAGACCAAUUUGUGUAGUGAAAAUUAUGUUGGUGUAUAGAAUAUACCAAAUGCUGUAUUGAUCAUUAAAGAUUGACUUUAUAAAAAAAAACGGUAUGGUAAAAAUUGAAAUGUCAAAUGCAUUAGUUUAUUACAAUAUCCCCAUUAGACAACACCAGUCGCGUAUGUAUAAAUGUCAGGGUAUCAAAAGCAAAUUUUACGGAACGUUAAAGGCUACAUAAUUCAAAUUUAUUUUGUCGCAUGGAAUUUGUAGGUUGUUUUUUUAGUAUAACAACUGUUUAAACGAAUUUAACUGUUUAAAUCUAUAUUAAUUUCCAUUUGAAUGGAAUUUUAUUUCGUUUAAACUAAUUAACUUUCUCUUUAAACGAAAUAAUUAAUUAGAUUUCAUGAGAUAAAUGGUUUGUUUAAACGAAUUUGUCUAUUCCUUUGAUACAUACUCAUGUCAAAUUGAGGAGCAAUGAUUGACUAUCUAGUAUGCUUAUCAACAUUGAUUGGACAAUGAAAUGUGUUUUGCAGUGACAUAUUAGUUCUUAAACCUCGACAGGACAUUUCAUUUCUUACUACUAAUAUAUACCACAUUUAUUGCUCAAAACGUCGCAUGAUUCUCUUUCCUUACAGAAGUAUAUUAUUAGAUAUUACGAUUACACAUUAUGCCUCAGAAAUCCAUAUUAAUUUUAUAAAGUUCUUUAGAAAUGUUUAACAUGUGUUAAAUAAUGUUUCAAUAAUAGAUUUAGAGCAUGUUUUACAGGCAGGUUGAAUAUGCAGUAAUGUGCCGUAAAGGUAGAAAAAUGUUAACGGCGUAGUAUUUUUGGCUUCCAUACACAUUCACUGUUAUAAUUAUACUAAUUGCCAACAAUGCAAAAGGAGCAAAGAUUGUUCAAAUACAUAGCAAAUCAGUAUUUUCUUAAUACAGUAACAGGAUACCAAAAAUAAAAAGGUUUUGAGAAAUGGAAUAGAAUUUCUGAGGCAUAAUGGGCCAUAAAGUAAACUUUAACAGGCACGUGUGCAAAACGUUCUUCUGUUCUACACAUUAAAAGAAAUAAGUCAUUUUGAUUUGUUUUGUUAUUUAUAGGAAAUGAUUUGUAUUAAAUAUCUUAGACUGUACAUAAUGUAUUAUAUAUAUUUUUAUUAACGUUUAAACUUGGUUUAUGUAUUAAUUCAAAUUUUUUAGCAAUUUGAUUUUGGGUUCUGUAAGUUAAGGUUUUUACAUAUAUCAUGCUCAAAAAUUCUACAAAAAAUUCCCAAAAUAAAAUUUGUAAAUAUUACUGAAAUGAUGCCUUAUUGUUUUCAUACAAUUAGUAGAACUCUUUAUUAAGCUUCUAUUAAAAGAAUUUUACAAAGUACAUAUAUUACAAUAAUUAUAGUCACGUGGUACUUGCAAAUGGUAAUAAAAUAUUGAAAACAUAUGAUCGAAAUAAUAUCAAUGUUCUUAAUUUUAGUUCGUUCAUUGAAUUAUUUAAUUUAUAAAGAAUCAUUUAGAAAUUGUUGGAUUCAAAAUAUUGUUUAGAUUUAAGUUUAAAUUCUUUGUUAUUAAAACGGUGUUAAUUUAAAAUUCAAAGAAAUUAAGUUUUACAAUUUGACUUCGAACAUUAAUUUAAAUUGAAUCUUUCGUAAUAUUAUAUGAUUGUUGUACCAGUGCUAAAGAGCAGAUAUUUUGAAUAUUGAAUGAUGUAUUAUAUAAUGUAUUGAAUUAUUGUAUAAUGUUGUACGUUAAUUAUAUGAUGGUGCGACCAUGUGUAUUAACCUUCUAUUGUUUUGUGUACUGUUAAUGUCACUAAACUGUCAUCAUCUUAGCAACACUUUUCGAAGUAAAAGUGGGGCAAUUAUCAUUACCCACUUUGCGUCGCAAGUAGCGCCGGAGCGGGCGUUGGUUUACCGUUUUGUUUAAGUUUAUGGCAGAAUGUCAGAAUGUUUCUUGCCGCACGAAAUCGUGCUUGGUUCAAACAAGUAUCAUAUUCAAAAUAACGAUUUUUUCAUGUAUAGCUUGCCCAAUUGCAAACCCUCACUUUGCCAAAAUGUUUUAAACCGUCUAUUUACAGUUAACCGGAUUUCGAGAGAAAAAAUUAUCAACAAAAGCCUGAAGCUUAAUGACCAAUUGUGUCUCAGAAAUGAUUUUAUUUUUAUUUCUCAAAAGUAUUUUUUAUUUGGUGAACUUUAUAGUAUUCAAAAAGAUACUCAUUGGCCAAUUACCCUGAACCAUCUGUUUCAUCUGUUGGUUAUCGUGAUCAGUAAGUGAAUAAGUAUUUUGUACUGAAGUUUACAUUUUGCUACUUUUAUGACAUAUUAUUUCACAUGCAUUACUACUUUCUUCUGUAACAAGCUUCUACAUUUUCUAAAAUCAUUAUGUUAACAUUAAGUUAACAUUACAAAAUUUAUUUUUGCCCUUUUCUAAAGAAGUAAAAAUGUAUUUGUUUCUGAGGCAUAAUGUGCCUUUGAGUAGGGUCAAACUGCUGGAAUGCUCAGACUGGCUUGACACUAGUCUUUUUGUUCAUAAUUUUCCUUACCGCUGAAAUUAUUGAAUUUGAUAAUUAAACAUAUAUUUGAAUUACUUACAUCAUGUACCUUAUAAAGUAAUGAAAAAAAUAAAAAGUGAUUUUUAAGAUGACAUAAUUUGCCUUAUACAAACAAAGUGUAAUAAUUUUAUUGUAAGCUAAUUUUAGCGUUAUACCAUAUUGGUGUCUAUGGAAAUAUAAUAACGAUUCUCAAUUAUGGCAUGAAAAAAUAAAGUUAUAAUUUUAUUAUAUCUGAGAAGCUUCAUAGCUAAAUUAACUGAACUCGUUGAAUAAAACAAACAUAACUUUACUUUACUUGUAAAAUAAAUUCAGUAUUGAACCCACAUUUAACCAAUAUCCUCUUUUUAAUUCAUCUAUUUAAAAGAAGUAUUCGCAAAGUAAUUCUUAUUUUACACAUAGGUUAUAGAAUUAGAAUUCAUAAAAUGUCAACCGCCUUACUAACAGUUUCAAUGUUUUUACGAAAAUGAAGGCGAUUUCUUUGAAAUUGUUUUUGUUUUGAAGUUUUGUUUGUUUGUUUGUAUCAUUUUACGCCUUUUCCCCAACAGUAUUUCAGUCAUAUAGGCGGGUAGUUUCCUAACCAUCGUUCCUGGAGAGUUACACCAGUACUAGACUACCUUCCUCCGCGCUAAACUACCAAAGCAUCUCCCGGGGAUCGAACCCACGCCAGAGAGGUAACUGGAUUAGAAGUCAUCGACUCUAACCCCUCGACCACGGAGGCGGUUUGAAGUUUUGUAAUAUGUGAUGAAAAUUGUCACCAAUAAUGUGGAUGAGAUGUGUAAAACAAGUUCAAUGAUGGGAAUAUAUUCCUAUAUCAUUAAACAUAUGUUUAUAUGUUUACUGUAAAACAAAUAUCAUUUUCCUUUAAUAUGUAAAUAUAUGUACACAAUUAUGAUGAAAUGGGUCAUGUAUUAUGAUAAAUAACAUCACAAUCUUCUUUAUAUUAUAUGUACAAUAUGCUAAAAGAUAAAAAAUUAAAUACAUCUAUUAUUUACA